GAUGAACGCUGGCGGCGUGCCUAAUACAUGCAAGUCGAGCGAACGGACGAGAAGCUUGCUUCUCUGACGUUAGCGGCGGACGGGUGAGUAACACGUGGAUAACCUACCUAUAAGACUGGGAUAACUUCGGGAAACCGGAGCUAAUACCGGAUAAUAUUUUGAACCGCAUGGUUCAAAAGUGAAAGACGGUCUUGCUGUCACUUAUAGAUGGAUCCGCGCUGCAUUAGCUAGUUGGUAAGGUAACGGCUUACCAAGGCAACGAUGCAUAGCCGACCUGAGAGGGUGAUCGGCCACACUGGAACUGAGACACGGUCCAGACUCCUACGGGAGGCAGCAGUAGGGAAUCUUCCGCAAUGGGCGAAAGCCUGACGGAGCAACGCCGCGUGAGUGAUGAAGGUCUUCGGAUCGUAAAACUCUGUUAUUAGGGAAGAACAUAUGUGUAAGUAACUGUGCACAUCUUGACGGUACCUAAUCAGAAAGCCACGGCUAACUACGUG
rnacentral:rRNA from 1 species